CCUACGGGAGACUGCAGUGGGGAAUAUUGCACAAUGGGCGAAAGCCUGAUGCAGCAACGCCGCGUGAAGGAAGAAGGGUUUCGGCUCGUAAACUUCUAUUAACAGGGACGAAAGAAAUGACGGUACCGGAAUAAGAAGCCCCGGCUAACUACGUGCCAGCAGCCGCGGUAAUACGAAGGGGGCAAGCGUUAUCCGGAAUUACUGGGUGUAAAGGGUGAGUAGGCGGCAUGGUAAGCCAGAUGUGAAAGCCGGGGGCUUAACCCGAGGAUUGCAUUUGGAACUAUCAAGCUAGAGUACAGGAGCGGCAAGCGGACUUCCUCGUGUAGCGGUGACCUUCGUAGAUAUUAG
rnacentral:rRNA from 1 species